CCGGGCUUCACAGGGCAGGAUGCCGGAUAACGUCCGGUGGAGGUGACUCCAAGGAUAGUGCAACAGAGAUAUACCGCCGCCCUCCUUCGCGGGGGCGGUAAGGGUGGAAAGGCGGGGUAAGAGCCCACCGAUUCUCUGGUAACAGAGAAUGCCAUGUAAACCCCAUCCGAAGCAAGACCGAAUCGAAAGCGAUAAUCCGGCCCGGAUUGCUUUCAGGUGGGUCGCUAAAGUCUGCCGGCGACGGCAGGAUCAGACAGAUGACCAUUCACGACAUAACCCGGCUUAUCGUCCGGCUC
rnacentral:RNase_P_RNA from 1 species